UGAUAAUUGAGGAUUGCCUUGAGGGUCCGCACUUAGGCAAUCAUGAAACACAACUCCAAACUCAAAAGUGGAAGACACACGAAUAGCCCUAGGCAAUAACGUUCAUGGGGAUCCGAAAAAGGGUGAGAAUGCAGGAUUGCCUUGAGGGUCCACACUUAGGCACUCAUGAAACAUAAGUCCAAACUCGAAAGUGGAGGACACACGAACAGCCCUAGGCAAUAACGUUCAUGUGGCUCCGAAAAAGGGUGAGAAUGGAGGAUUGCCUUGAGGGUCCGCACUUAGGCAAUCAU
rnacentral:lncRNA from 1 species